ACUGACCUGGUGGCGAGGCUGUCACCUGUGCCAGUCAUAAAUUAUACACUACUACAGCACCUCGUUACCUGUGUAUGGGAAACAGCAGAUGCAGAUGAAGGCGAGGUCGGGGAAGUAGACUGAGUGGAUCGACCAACAAAGAUGCAUUAGAGAAACUGUCAAAAGUUCGCCCACUUCCUUCACUCAUCCUGCAGUGGCCCAAGAUAAACUCAUCUCUUUUCAAGAAGUGAAGAACAAGGGACAGACUGAUGACAGAGGCUACAUCACCACCACCAGAUGACAGAGGCUACAUCACCACCAACACCAGAUGACUGAGGCUACAUCAUCACCACCA